UACGUAGGGCGCAAGCGUUAUCCGGAAUUAUUGGGCGUAAAGAGCUCGUAGGCGGUUUGUCGCGUCUGCCGUGAAAGUCCGGGGCUCAACUCCGGAUCUGCGGUGGGUACGGGCAGACUAGAGUGAUGUAGGGGAGACUGGAAUUCCUGGUGUAGCGGUGAAAUGCGCAGAUAUCAGGAGGAGCACCGAUGGCGAAGGCAGGUCUCUGGGCCACUACUGACGCUGAGAAGCGAAAGCAUGGGGAGCGAACAGG
rnacentral:rRNA from 1 species